GGAGGCUGUCACCCAUCAUUCUUCCAUUAUCACUAGCAGGUGCCUUAUUUCCUCUCAGCCAGCUUCCUGAUCUCUCCCUCCCUGCUAUGGACUUCCAGCCACCACAUCUCUGUCAUUGCUCCUCCUUAGCUGUCCUGGGUGAGAGGGUUGAUCAGGCUCCUAGAGAAGAGCUUCACGUAGGUGUAGGAAUAUUUGGAGUAGGUCAUUAUUUUUUUAAUUGAGUCACCACACUGUUGUUUUGCCCAUUGGAUGAAAAUUUUGUCACAGACCUGCAUUGGAGAACAAGUGCCUUAGAGUCUAGAGUUCAAAUACCUUCGAGAACCAGGACAUUGCAAAUCGCUGGAUCUGCAUGCAGGGCAGGGAACAAGGGCCCUACAGGAAAGUGAGGCAUUGGCCUUAGGUGCAAAAUUUUAGGGGAUACCAAAAACUUGGUGAUCAAGAUAAAUAACAUUUCAAUAAAACAAAAUUAAUGUAAAAAUCUAUGUAUUUUUAACAAAAUAUCAAUUUUUUUUUUUUUUUUUGAGACGGAGUCUCCCUCUGUUCCCAGGCUGGAGUGCAGUGGUGCGAUCUCAGCUCACUGCAAGCUCCGCCUCCUGGGUUCACGCCAUCCUCCUGCCUCAAUCUCCUGAGUAGCUGGGACUACAGGUGCCCCGCCAACACGCCCGGCUAAUUUUUUGUAUUUUUAGUAGAGACAGGG
rnacentral:lncRNA from 1 species